rnacentral:rRNA from 1 species
AUGCCUUUUAUCAACCCGUCUUGAACACGGACCAAGGAGUCAAGGUUUUGCGCGAGUGUUUGGGUGUCAAACCCGCACGCGUAAUGAAAGUGAACGUAGGUGAGAGCUUCGGCGCAUCAUCGACCGAUCCUGAUGUAUUCGGAUGGAUUUGAGUAGGAGCGUUAAGCCUUGGACCCGAAAGAUGGUGAACUAUGCUUGGAUAGGGUGAAGCCAGA